rnacentral:rRNA from 1 species
CUAGAAUGCGGUAGAGUAAAAGGAAUUCCUGGUGUAGCGGUGAAAUGCGUAGAUAUCAGGAGGAACAUCGGUGGCGAAAGCGCUUUACUGGGCCGUUAUUGACGCUGAGGAACGAAAGCCGGGGGAGCAAAUGGGAUUAGAUACCCCAGUAGUCCCGGCCGUAAACGAUGGAUACUAGGUGUUGCGGGUAUCGACCCCUGCAGUGCCGUAGCUAACGCGAUAAGUAUCCCGCCUGGGGAGUACGCACGCAAGUGUGAAACUUAAAGGAAUUGACGGGGACCCGCACAAGCGGUGGAACAUGUGGUUUAAUUCGAAGCAACGCGAAGAACCUUACCAGGGCUUGACAUCUAGAGAAUUCUGAUGAAAGUCGGAAGUGCCCUUCGGGGAGCUCUAAGACAGGUGGUGCACGGUUGUCGUCAGCUCGUGCCGUGAGAUGUUGGGUUAAGCCCCGCAACGAGCGCAACCCUCGUCGUUAGUUGGUCAUAUCGGUAUACUGAUAUGUAUCUCUCUAGCGAGACUGCCGGUGAUAAACCGGAGGAAGGUGAGGACGACGUCAAAUCAUCAUGCCCCUUAUGUCCUGGGCUACACACGUGUUACAAUGGCCGGUACAACGAGCGGCGAACUCGCGAGGGUAAGCGAAUCUCUUAAACCCGGUCUCAGUUCGGAUUGCACUCUGCAACUCGAGUGCAUGAAGUCGGAAUCGCUAGUAAACGCAGAUCAGCACGCUGCGUUGAAUACGUUCCCGGGUCUUGUACACACCGCCCGUCACACCAUGGAAGUCGACCACGCCCAAAGUACGUGAGCUAACCAUUCGGAGGCAGCGUCCUAAGGCAGGGUUGGUAACUGGGGUGAAGUCGUAACAAAGGUAGCCGUAGCC